rnacentral:misc_RNA from 1 species
GGGAUGGGCAGUUUCAGCGGGUCAGUGGCACAAAUGUCGGAGGUGGUACAUAUUGGGGAUUGGGGAGGUUGUUGACUAAAUGCAAGAGUUUUGAUGAACUGCUAGAGCUCAGUCAGCGUGGAGACAAUAGCACCAUAGACAUGCUUGUUGGUGACAUAUAUGGUGGUAUGGAUUACUCAAAGAUUGGCCUUUCAGCUUCAACAAUCGCUUCGAGUUUUGGGAAGACCAUUUCAGAAAACAAGGAUCUUAAAGAUUAUAAGCCUGAAGACAUCUCUCUAUCCCUGCUGCGCAUGAUUUCAUAUAAUAUUGGUCAGAUAGCUUAUCUCAAUGCACUGCGUUUUGGACUCAAAAGGAUAUUCUUUGGAGGAUUUUUCAUACGAGGUCAUGCUUACACCAUGGACACCAUAUCUUUUGCUGUUCAGUUCUGGUCCAAGGGAGACGCACAAGCUAUGUUCUUGCGACAUGAAGGUUUCUUGGGAGCUCUGGGUGCUUUUAUGAGCUACGAAAAGCAUGGUUUAGAUGAUCUGAUGGUCCAUCACUUAGUGGAAAGAUUCCCAAUGGGUGCACCAUACAUUGGAGGAAAUAUUCAUGGCCCACCGUUGGGAGAUUUGAAUGAGAAGAUAUCGUGGAUGGAGAAAUUUGUGCGGAAGGGAACUGAAAUUACUGCUCCUGUUCCAAUGGCUCCACCAGCUACUACCGGCCUUGGAGGCUUUGAAGUUCCAUCAUCUAAAGGAGUUCUGCGAUCUGAUGCAAGCAAAUUAAAUGUAGGAGUUUUGCAUCUGGUCCCAUCUUUGGAGGUUUUCCCACUUUUAGCAGAUCCAAAAACAUAUGAGCCAAAUACCAUAGACCUAUCAGAUCACGGCGAGCUAGAGUACUGGUUCACUGUGUUAUCUGAGCAUUUGUCGGAUCUUGUUGACAAGGCAGUGGCUAGUGAGGGUGGAACCGACGACGCAAAAAGAAGGGGUGAUGCAUUUGCUCGGGCAUUUUCUGCACACUUGGCUAGAUUGAUGGAGGAACCUGCAGCUUAUGGAAAGCUAGGGCUCGCCAACCUUUUGGAGCUAAGAGAAGAAUGCUUGAGAGAGUUUCACUUUUUUGAUGCUUACCGUACCAUUAAACAAAGGGAAAAUGAAGCUUCACUUGCAGUUUUACCUGAUCUUCUGAUGGAGUUAGAUAGCCUGACUGAGGAUAUGAGAUUACUUACACUGAUAGAAGGUGUUCUUGCUGCUAAUAUCUUUGAUUGGGGAUCACGUGCCUGUGUUGAUCUCUAUCACAAAGGAACAAUU